CAUAAGUGUAAAGCGCAUAUCUCGCCCGACCUAUUGGCAACCCUUAAAGGCACAGUCUCUAGUUAUUGUCCAAGUGGCUAGGUUUGCCACAGCGACCUCUAAUUUACAUCAACUCUACCUAUCCGGAUUACAACUUCACAUGCUGCACGGGUUUACCAUUCAUACGCAGUUUCCAUGUCCGCAUACCAGAUUAGUACCUUACACAAGACAUUUCCGGUACCCGGGACAAUUUUCACAUCUUACAGAUUCCCCAUCUGCAUCCAUUUUUUUCAAUCACUAUCAGACCUAUUAGUUGCCUGUCCUUAUGAACCAAGCACCAACCUUUACAUGUAGGGCAAUAACUGCUUGAUCCAAGGAUAAUCUGACUGCCAUUAUGGGGUCAAGAAGGAAUUUUUUCCCAGCUUUUUGCAAAUUGGCAGCGCUUCAAACUGGGUUUUUCGCCUUCUUUUGGAUCAACU